GACGAACGCUGGCGGCGUGCCUAACACAUGCAAGUCGAACGGACAAAAGAGGAGUUUACUUUUCUUUUGUUAGUGGCGGACGGGUGAGUAACGCGUGAGUAACCUGCCUUUCAGAGGGGGAUAACAUUUGGAAACAGAUGCUAAUACCGCAUAAGAUUAUAGUAUCGCAUGGUACAGUAAUCAAAGGAGCAAUCCGCUGAAAGAUGGACUCGCGUCCGAUUAGCUAGUUGGCGGGGUAAAUGCCCACCAAGGCGACGAUCGGUAGCCGGACUGAGAGGUUGAACGGCCACAUUGGGACUGAGACACGGCCCAG
rnacentral:rRNA from 1 species